AGUGAACGCUGGCGGUAGGCCUAACACAUGCAAGUCGAACGGCAGCACAGUAAGAGCUUGCUCUUACGGGUGGCGAGUGGCGGACGGGUGAGGAAUACAUCGGAAUCUACUUUUUCGUGGGGGAUAACGUAGGGAAACUUACGCUAAUACCGCAUACGACCUACGGGUGAAAGCAGGGGAUCUUCGGACCUUGCGCGAUUGAAUGAGCCGAUGUCGGAGUAGCUAGUUGGCGGGGUAAAGGCCCACCAAGGGGAGGAUCCGUAGCUGGUCUGAGAGGAUGGUCGCCGACCUGGGAGGUGGGCCAGCGACAAGGGGACUAAGGGACGGAGCAGUGGGGAACAGUGGACAACGGGGGCAAGCCUGACCCAGCCAGAGCGAGUGGGUGAAGAAGGCCCUGGGGUUGUAAAGCCCGUUUUUUGGGAAAGAAAAGCAGCCGGUUAAGACGCCGCUGUUGUGACGGUAAUCAAUGAAUAAGCACCGGCUAACUUCGUG
rnacentral:rRNA from 1 species